GCACAAAGCAAGGAAGUUUAUUGUUUCACCUUCCACUGUGCUCUAGGAAAUCUAGACUGCUCAGAUCAUUUUUAUCAUCAGUGGAGAUGGAAAACUGAUACUUCUAGAUUACUGUAUUUCACCAGGCCUAGGAUUUCCCAUCAAAACCUAAUUGUUAUUUUAAAAAAAUGCAAUAAAAAAUAAAGGAAAUGAUUGGGGAAAUUGCUCGUUGACCACUCUGGUGAUAAAGAAAAGACUUUUUUAAGAGCAGCACAUCUUGUGAGAUGACAUGCAGCCUUCCUCAUCAAGAGUCUGCAAGAGCCAAUUUAAUGAAGGUGGAAGUAUGCCUGUUGCAACUGGGCGAGCUUUUUAAUACUGCUGCCAAGAAGACAGAAAAACUGAAAAUUCUGUGUCAAUCUUUCAAAACAAUAGUUGCAGCAACAAAAAAAUCAACAUCUGUUACGUGUUUUUCCUUUGUUUCUUCUAAUCGAUCCAGCAAAUCUUUGCCAAACAUUUGCAGUGUGCCGUAGAAAUGUCACUUGAGGGUGAAAAAGAGUGUCACUUUAUAAGUAAAUGUCAUUUGCAAGUAAAUACCAUUGACUAGUGAGGAAAACUAACUCUAAGAAAUGAAGCUGAGUGGCUAAAUGGCUGAUGAUACAAACAAGAAGCAGAGCAUAUAAUGAAGAUUCAAGUUAAUUUGUACUCCAUCUGUCUGUUGUCCUAACAAUAGUAGAUGGUGAUGGAGGUGAUAGUAAUGGGUUUCCAGAUCAUCUCAGGUUGAAGCUCUACCACCGAACAAAUAUCUGCAGUGAGUAAUAAUGCUUCCACCUUCAUCAGUCGUGGCAAUUGAAAUGCCUCUCCUUUUCCCUUUCUUUUUCUUUCAUUAAGUCUCGAGUUUUGUAGAGUUCUCAGAUAAUAUCUGUCUCUGUUGUUCUAACCUUGCCUCUCCUUUUGUGCCCUUCAGUUCUGGAUCUCCUUUACACUCGCUCAUCUACCCUAAACGUGAUGUCCAGCUGGUACUCUCAUCCACCUGCAUUACUUCUGAACAUUUCAGCUGCUCUAGAAUGCCAUUAUUCCUAUCUGCAUGCGUGCACCCCCAAAGAAGAAAUGAGUGUGUAAACUUAUUUACCCAUGCCAACAAAUUAAUCACAAAGCUUGCUAAGACUUGGCAAACAGAAUUCAUAUCUUAUGUCUUCAGUGGGUAUAGAAGAUCUCUGAGACUUUGUAACAUACUUUGUGCUGUGAGCUUUAUUAUUUUAAGACUGCCUAUUCAAAAGCUACUUGUCAAAACAUCUACAGAAUCUAUGUUCAAAGAAAUGACUGACAAGAAGAAUGAGUAUUGAUAUUUGUUUUAGCUUUUAAGAUAGAAAGAAUAUGAUAAGCUUAACUGAUUCACAUAAAUUCAUAAGGAAGAUUUUUAAUGAAAUGUAUCUAGUUAUGUCUGUUUAUUCUAUCUUCAUCUUCCUCAUUUGUUCUUUCAUUCUGUUUCUUGAAAGUCCCAUAUCUCUUUUCUAUUCUUUCAAACAUCCUAUCUAGGUUAAUUGUUGCAGAUUUUAGGAAUAAGUAUGUGUAAGUUUUCAAAGUGGCACUGAUGUCAGUAUUAUUCAGAAGAAAGGAACAAAUCUGGAGAGGUGCUAGCAACACACACAAAAAUUGUUAGUAUCCUAUUUAAGGCAAAUUUAAUCUGCAGCUAUACUGGAGAAAAUAUGUUUACCUACAGUAUUUUAAAGUGAUAUGAAAAAGAUGUGGAGGUUCUACCUUCACACUAGCUCUUCCCUAAGAAUCUCAAUCCUUUGCCAAGUAAUUUUCACACAAAUAUGAAAAUCAAUACAUCAUGCUUUUUUCUUUUUUUUUUUUUUUUUUGCCUUCUGCCAUCCAGCCUCCCAUUCUUUUCAACACAUUUAUCUAUUCUUUACAUCUUCCACCUUGCACAUUUUCUGCCUUAAACUUUCACUUCUGCUCUGCUUUACUUACAGUUCUGGGGGCAAAACUUUUUUGUAACUUGGAAAUUUUGUAAUACAAACUCCUCCUUCUCUUCCUCAAAACUGAUAUUUUUGGAACAGAGAAAAAUUCUCAUUUCUCAAAGAAAAGAAGCACUGUUUUUAAGCUCCAAACUCCCUACUCUCCUUCUUUGAUAAAAGACACAAGAGGAAGGUGGGAGUAAUGUCCUUGCUUCCUGUAGAAGCUUUCAUUAGCUCUUCCUCCCUUGAGUAUCAAGCAUAGAAGGCAUCCUACAGAGUUUGGCUUUUUUUUCCCUGCCCUUCUUACAGGUUGUAUUAAUAAUAUAGUUAUCUAGGCAAUUUUGCUUUCUAUAAAUUUUAUUUCCAGGAUCUGCCAUUUGGCUCACCUUAAGCAGUAUAUACAUGUCUAUUUGUACAAGGGAAUACCAUAUAAUUGGCAAAUGAAAAAGAGACACCAGGAAAACUGUAGGUUUCUGUAUAAAUUGUGUGCCCAAAAAAAAACCAUACUCAGUAUUUAGUGCUGCUAGUGACAUUCCCAAAUUACACAUCUGUUCUUUUGGUUUACAUUUUAGGGGACCAGGCAGCAAAUGGAAAACACAGCGAGACAUUCAAAAGAGGACUAUUCUCCCUUCUAAAACUAUGUAGGAUCCACUAAAAAUCCUGACUGCUGACAAUCACACAUGAUAGCAUUGUUUAUGAGUAAAACACUGAAUGAAAUGCACUACUGUUUAGGCACUUAGUAAUGUCAGUAAUCUCUGGUACAGAUGAUGGGUAAUUCGAAGAGUGAAUCAGUCCAGCUGUAAGUUCUCUUAAUUCCUUCUGCUGCAGAAAGAUUUUCCCUUUAUUCUCACUAAUCUGUAAGUUUACAGGAUAAGCUAUAAAAAAAUGGAAGCAAGAUGGGCCACAUAAAAACAAACCUAAACAAACAAACUAAAAAAAAAAAACUAAAAAACUAAAAUAUCCCUAUGAUUUAGUAAGCAUCUUUAGAGAUCACCCUUAAACAAUUUACUCAGACUGUCAGAUGAUAGCUUUUUCUUCAGAUCCAUCCAUACCCUAGUUUUGUCUGUUAUUUCAGUCUUUUUCCAUAAAACACAAGAACGUGAUCCUCAACUAUUGAUUCUGAUGGGUUCUUGGUUACUCACCCUCAUUGUGACUUGCAUGUUUUGCUG